rnacentral:rRNA from 1 species
UACGGAGGGAGCUAGCGUUGUUCGGAAUUACUGGGCGUAAAGCGCACGUAGGCGGCUAUUCAAGUCAGAGGUGAAAGCCUCGGGGCUCAACCCCGGAACUGCCUUUGAAACUAGAUAGCUAGAAUCUUGGAGAGGUCAGUGGAAUUCCGAGUGUAGAGGUGAAAUUCGUAGAUAUUCGGAAGAACACCAGUGGCGAAGGCGACUGACUGGACAAGUAUUGACGCUGAGGUGCGAAAGCGUGGGGAGCAAACAGGG